AAAAGAAAAAAGCAUGAACACACAACUCUUUUGUCUCUUUCUCUUUCCUUGUCAAGACACGACAACAUCCACUGUCUCUUUCUCUGUUAAUCGCAAAUCACAAACGCAAGGGCGAUCCGAGUAGAUCAAACAACUUCGCAGCUUAUUCGCCGAUUAAGCAUCAUAUGAACGAUUUUAUCAUCAAAAAAAGGAGAGGUUCGUAAGCGGAAGCAAGUUCAGCAGAGAACCCUGAAGCGUGAAAUUUUGGUUAAUGUUGAACAAUUUUUGGCAAAAUCACAUUUCUCUUUAGCAAACGGGAAUUUUUGAGCCACGCAGUCAUAAAUCCAGACAUAUUAGAUGUCUCAAGUUUGUUCAUGCUAUGUUGGAUUGCUCUUGCUGUGCUGAGUUGCAGCUAUGGAGACAAUAGGUGGUAAGGCUGUCAAAAUUUCAAAGUAUUCUAAGAAUUAAUGAGGACAAAUGUGAUAUUACACGACCAAAGUAGACGCAGUGUGGAACAUGACUAUCUGUUCUGGGGAACUGGAUGAUGAGCUCUGGAUGGGUACCUCUGUUGACAAUGAUUGUGUAUACUUUAACAUAACUAGUUUACAUCAACAUGAAAGACCAGACAAGUAAGGAGCAAUGGUGGUAUAACGCAGCAAAUCCCCUUGCUUUCUUGCUUGCUUUCCCCCUCUGCCCUAAAGAAGUUCCACCACUGAGCACAAGUGUUUCUAAACAGUAAAUGAAAAAUUUCUUCCAUCAACUAGUGACUUAGAGCACGAUAAUGAUGGCAAUGAUCAGGAACAACAUAAUGGAAAUCAUCAUGCAUUUCCUUGACUUCUUUUGCAAGCUUUUUGCUGUUUGCCGAGCGUCGUUACCCUGUCUCACAUGAUCAGUUGCGUUUGUCACCUGUUCAUUACAUAAUGCCAUUUUAAAAAGACAAAAUGAUUAGUUGUCUGAAUAGUAAAUGGUUGCCUAGUAAUCGAACAAUUCCUUUUGCAAUUGACGCAAUCACUACAUGAUUUUGCCCAAGCAACUUGAGCAAACAUACAAAUGAUACUAACAUAAAUUAUAUCCACAAAUAUAAAUAGGUGAGACGAUUAUCCAAAUUUGAUGGGAAAUAAUUAAGAAAGACUUGUGUUAGUUACAUUUUUCUAGGAAUAAAGGUUUUUAAAGUUCUUUCAUAAAUCUGUUAAAAAAAAUAAAAACUGGAUGCUUAAACUGAUUACUUCUAUCAAGAGAGCUAAUAGAAAAGGCACCUUAAAAUAACUUUCCAAAAUAUAUAUCUUCAGAAUAAUCGUAUUCAUGUGAUGGAAGUGGGUUAUAUGAACUAAAUGUUAUUCACUUUAGCACUUUAUGCAUAGUUAACAGAUAAUAAUGGGGAGGACAAUUUUCUUAACAAGUAAAAAUUGAUCAUAAGUAGUUGAGACAAGAGGAUCGAUACUCACUUUUAAUCUACACAAUACUCAUAGUUCUUUUAAUCAACGGAAUGAAUUUCAGAUUUCUCUACUAUUAAUUUAAAUUAUUCAUACUUCAACAUAUAAUAUGAUAUAGCCAUUAUCCUACAAGUACUGUUUUUGGUACAGUAAUUUUAGGGCAUUUGUUGUACUUUUGAUUUUUAUGAAAUAUUUAUAAGAUGCAUGUAUGUCAAAAAGAUUAAAAACAUAAUAAUUAAAAAAAUAGGCACAUAUAUACAUGUUCAUGUACAAAAGUUAAAACUUUGAUGUUCAAAUACAUCUCAUCAUUCUUGAGAUGAAACAGUGGAAGACAAGAAGAUAAGUCGAAAGUAUAAUGAAUUUGCAAGGUUAUAAGUAGGUUUCAUACACGCAUGGUAAAAAAUUGAGGCACCAAUUUCAGUUGUGUUUAAUCUUGGCAGAGAUAAAAAUAUAUAUAUAUCAAGUAAAAAUGAUAAUAAUUUAAGUUUUUAUUUUCUAAAUAUCUAAAUUUUAACCUUUUCAAGCUUACAAGCUACUGCCUAACACUCUGGGUGAAAAAUGAAACAAUAGAGAAAUAAGAAGGAAAAAAACGAGUUUUAAAAAUAGAGCAAAUAUAAGCUAAUAUUAUAAUAAAGAUGUAUUGUUUGAAUAGAACAAAGACGUAAAUGUCACCUAUGCGAGUUAAUACACUAGUAAAUACUUAAAGGAGAAGAAAAUAAGAUAAAAUAUAUUGAGUUUUCUAUAUAAGUUAAAAAUUAACUUAUGUUCCUUAGUUUUUGAAAAGUUAAAUGAAAAGAGUUUUUAUAGAAGUUAAAUACACAAGUUAACUUUAACUUAUGUGAGAACUUUGAUUCAUUUUACUUUUUGUUUUUUGUUUUUUUUUAUAUAAAUAUGAAGUUAUCUAAACAAGGCUUAGAAAAAAAUAAGUCAAAAAAUGAAGAAAGUUUUCUUUCCUUGUUUGGAUAAGCACAUUAAAAAAAAAAGUGAAAAGAAAUAAGUAGAUUGUAUAAGAAAACUUCUUAUCAUAUUGUUAUGCGUCUAAUUAUACUACAUAGUAAUGUAUGUUAAACUUUGAAGGGCAACAUAAGAGAAAGGUGAGACUACAGAAAUGAGAAUGUUAAGAUGGAUGUGUGGUCUCACAAGAAAGAUCAAGACACAAAGUAAUUAUAUAUUAUAUGAAACGAGAUUCGUGUGUCAUUGAUUGGAAAAAGAUAAACAUGUAAAUAAAAAUAAAUAAAUAAAUAAGCCAUCAGAAAUCCUAACCAUGUAAAGAGGAGAGGGGGACCAAAAAAAAAAAAAA